AGAUUGAACGCUGGCGGCAUGCCUUACACAUGCAAGUCGAACGGCAGCGCGGGGCAACCUGGCGGCGAGUGGCGAACGGGUGAGUAAAAUAUCGGAACAUACCCUAGAGUGGGGGAUAACGUAGCGAAAGUUACGCUAAUACCGCAUACGAUCUAAGGAUGAAAGUGGGGGCUCGCAAGACCUCAUGCUCAUGGAGUGGCCGAUAUCUGAUUAGCUAGUUGGUAGGGUAAAAGCCUACCAAGGCGACGAUCAGUAGCUGGUUUGAGAGAACGACCAGCCACACUGGAACUGAGACACGGUCCAGACUCCUACGGGAGGCAGCAGUGGGGAAUUUUGGACAAUGGGGGCAACCCUGAUCCAGCAAUGCCGCGUGAGUGAAGAAGGCCCUCGGGUUGUAAAGCUCUUUUGUCAGGGAAGAAACGGUGUUUCCUAAUACGGAAUGCUAAUGACGGUACCUGAAGAAUAAGCACCGGCUAACUACGUGCCAGCAGCCGCGGUAAUACGUAGGGUGCAAGCGUUAAUCGGAAUUACUGGGCGUAAAGCGUGCGCAGGCGGUUUUAUAAGUCUGAUGUGAAAUCCCCGGGCUCAACCUGGGAACUGCAUUGGAGACUGUAAGGCUAGAGUGUGUCAGAGGGGGGUAGAAUUCCACGUGUAGCAGUGAAAUGCGUAGAUAUGUGGAGGAAUACCGAUGGCGAAGGCAGCCCCCUGGGAUAACACUGACGCUCAUGCACGAAAGCGUGGGGAGCAAACAGGAUUAGAUACCCUGGUAGUCCACGCCCUAAACGAUGUCUACUAGUUGUCGGGUCUUAAUUGACUUGGUAACGCAGCUAACGCGUGAAGUAGACCG
rnacentral:rRNA from 1 species